UUGCUAUGUUAUAAACAUAUAAAUUGGUUAUAUCGGAAAUUAGUACGGUAAAAAGUACUUUGAGGAUGAAAGACCGGGUGGUCAAUCGACUCUUGAGAGUUUUUGAAUUAAACGGCGAGGAAACCGCCGGCGGUGGAUCACUUGGUUCGUGCAUCGAUGAAGAACGCGGCAAAAUGCGAAAAAUGGUGUGAAUCGCUAAGCCAAGGGAGUCACCGAGUAUUCGAAUGCACAUGGCGCGACCAAGCAGUUGGUCGCCUGUAGUGGCGAGGCGAGUUUUGAGACGCAGCAAAGGCAGUGCAAUUGGUCCAUUUUUAUCGAUUGACCGGUUACUCUGCCGGAAAAAUGUGGUGCAGUCGCAUUGAACGUAAAAACUAGCGACUGCAUAACCUUGUACAACUAUUAGU
rnacentral:misc_RNA from 1 species